UGGAUUUUUUUUUUAACUUUCCAGUCGAGCCCACAAUUGUGAUGAUCUCCCUUCAAAGACUAGAUAGGCCCAACUCUGAUAGUUUUUUGAGGCCAGGCAGGAUUCUCAGGUACUGCCAUCUAACUCACCUGCCUGUGACAGAAGAAAUGCAUGAAAUAUAUAGCUGGAUAGUAAUCAUAUCAUCCAUCUUUCAUUUGUUUUCCUGACCCAAUUAUUAUUUGGAAUGUACUUCUAGCAGUCUACUCCAAAGCCUAGAUAGAACAAAGUCCCAGAACAAACUGCACAUCCAUGUACUAAACCAUAUUUUUCAAACCACAAUGUGUCAGGGCUCAAUGGCAGGAAAAUUACAGUAUAAUUUGAUUAGGACUAUUCAGACAGGCUGCAGAAAUUAAUAUGGAGCUUUGAGUAACUUUGCUGUCAUCUGAUGCUCAUCCUGAUUUGUAGAUUUGGUGACCUAAACCUUCGUGGAUUUAUCUGAACAGAAGCCCAGGAAAUGCAGAAAAGGGAACCAUCCAAGAAACUCUACAAGGGUUACAGAGUUUGCUCUUCAAAAAUAUCACAGCAAGCAAGCAGAUAGGAAAUCUGACCAGGCCGUCAAAAGGAAGAAGAGCAAGUCCGAUUGCAGUGCUAGAGAUUAUUAUCCUAGACUCCUGAGACACCCCCCCUACACACACCAUUGAUUAAGAAUCUGUUCUCAACAAUUUACAGCUACGGCUUUUGACAACAUGGCUGCAUUUACCACUGUUUGCAGGGUCUCCUAGGCACAUGACCGUUUUUAAGGACAUUUUUGCCCCAAACCUGAAGUUACUUCCGAUUUUCGGCA